rnacentral:rRNA from 1 species
UACGUAGGUGGCAAGCGUUGUCCGGAAUUCUUGGGCGUAAAGCGCGCGCAGGCGGUCCUUUAAGUCUGAUGUUAAAGCCCACGGCUCAACCGUGGAGGGUCAUUGGAAACUGGGGGACUUGAGUGCAGGAGAGAAGAGUGGAAUUCCACGUGUAGCGGUGAAAUGCGUAGAGAUGUGGAGGAAAACCAGUGGCGAAGGCGGCACUCUGGGCCAGUACUGACGCUGAGGAGCGAAAGCGUGGGGAGCGAACAGG